GGCCAUAUUCAUUAUCUUUGUGCCGAAUGAAAAGAGAAAGAAAAUAAGAAAACCAAGCUAUGUAUUCGGCCCUUGCUCAAGCAAAUUAAGGUAUGUUUCGGUUUCGGUUUUUGAUGAUUUUUAUGUUUUUGAGAUCGUUGUUUCGAAUACUACUCGACCCAUGCUUAAAUUUUUGAAUUUGAUGAUGAUUUUGUGUUUUGCCAUUGUUGAAAGCUUGUAAUUUUGUUGUUUAAUGAUAGAAAAUAAAAUAUAUGAAAUGGAUAUAUAUAUAUAUGUUGAAAUUGAAUUUUUAAUGAUUUUGAGUAAUUAAGGCUAAAUUGUAAAAAUAAUAAAUUGAGGAACUAAAAUAUGAAAUAAAUGACAUGCAUGGAUUUAUAUGAGCUUAGUGCAUAUUCGGCCAAGCUAUUGUGCAAGGAAAGUUUGUUUAUUUUGUAUUUUUUGUGAAAUAGGGACUAAUUUGUGAAAAAUGUGAAAUGUUAGGGGAAAAAGUGUAAUUUUCCCAUUUAUGUGUUUUUGGAUUUAAUUAAAUGAAUAUGUGGUUAAAUUAGUUAAAUUUGAACUUAUUUAGAUCAAGAAUAGAAGAAAACGGAAUUAGAUCGGGGAAAGUCGAAAGUAGUCGACUAUGUUCGUCGAUAUCCGAGGUAAGUCUAUUAGCAAUUUAAAAGUUAAUAAAUCAAUAUUUAUACAUGUAUAUCGAUUGUAUACUUGAUGAGUUGUAAUUAAAUGUUUAUAAUUUGAAGUAUAAGUAUAAAUUUUAUAUAAGUAUUUAAUAGUUUCAAAUAUACAAGUAUAAUCUUGUAUAAGUUCAUGAGUUAAAUUAUAGGUUUAAAUUUUAUAUAAGUAAAGGUGAGAUUCGGAUAGGCAUGUAUAUAUAUGAAAAUCUAUUGUAAUGAAAUUAGGUAAGAAAUUAUACUUGUAUAUGAUAGAUUCAAAAAUAUAUGUAAUAGAAUGAAUAAACCUUGAAUUUAGAUAAAGGUAUGAGUAUGUAUAUAUAUAUUUAUAAUUAUAUACAUAAUGAUCGAAUAUAUAUACAUAUGUAUACAUAUAUAUAUAGUUUUUGAAUUUAGUGGAAGUAUGAAUGUUGUAUAUGUAUGAAUUCUUGGUUUUAAUCCAAGAUAAGUAUGAUAUAUACAUAUAUAUGUACAUUAUGUCCGAAUAUAUGUAUAUAAAUAUAUAUGUAUAAGCUCUUAGAUUUGAUUAAGAUAUGUAACUUAUAUUUGUAUAUGUGAGUUGGUAAUUAUAUAUAUAUUAUAUUUGAAUGAACAGGUAUACAUACACGUAUAUGAUUUUAUAGUGAAUUUAGGUAUGACAAUUAUACAAGGUUACAUGAGGUUCGAUUAUGCUAAUAUACAAGUAUAUAUUCAUGUAAAGUUCUUGAAUAGCAUUGAAAGUAUGAAAUUAUUAGUUGGAUUAUUAAAAGAUGAUCGAAUAUAUGAUAUUAGUAGUAGAUUAAUGCAUUAAGUUAUAUAUAUAUAGGUUUGGAUGUAUAAUUAAAUUAUUGAGCUGGAAUUGAUGUUUGAACUUUAUACAUCUAUGUUAUUUAAAGAUAUAGUUUAUAAAUUAUUGAGCUGAAUUUUAUGUGGAUUCUAUAUACAAAUAUGAGAUACAACUUCUGUGAAUUGAGAUUUUUUUUAAAGCUUAGUACCAAUCAGAUUAAUUGCCGGUGAAAUGUUUCAGACUUUACGUCUAGCAGGCUAAGUGCCGAUGAACUGAAUCAGGCUAUAAGCCUAGCGGGCUAAGUACCGGUGAACUGAAUCAGGUUAUAAGCCUAGCAGGUGAAGUGCCAGUGAAUCUGUUUAAAUUAAGUGAUUAUAUGCAUUGGGUAUAUAUAUAUAUAUGAUUUUGGUUAUAUGUAAUGGAUAAAUAUAUGAACAUUUGUUUCAAUGUAUUUGAUGAGCAUAUAAACGUUCGGAUCUUUGUGAUUAGUGAGUAUGUACAUAUAUUGGUUGUCAUGAAAUUGUUGGAUAUAUAUAUAUACAUUCGGCCAAAUGUUAAACUUAUGUGUAUUUGGUUAAAUAUGGAUUUGAUGUAUAGUACGUGUUUGAUAAAUGUAUUUUUCGAUUAUGGAAAUGUAUAUGAAUAUUGAAAACAUGAUUUGAUUUUGUUGUAACUAAUUAAAUGUUGUUAAGUUAUCUAUUUGCUUAUGACUUACUAAGCUGUAAUAGCUUACUCUGUGUGUUUUUCUUAUAUUUUUAGAGUUCUAAAGACUUGCUCGGGUUGGAAGACGUUGGAAUCGUGAUCACACUAUCCGGUUAUGGCUUUGGUAAAUUAAAGCUUUGAGUUUUUGGUUAUGUGGCAUGUAUAGGCUAGUUUUAAUUUAGUUUUUGUAUAUAUAUUUAGCCAUGUGAAAAUGGCUUGAUCUAAUGCUAAUGAUCCAAGGUUUAAGUAAUUUUGGUCAUAGUAAAGGCGUGGGGUAUGCUUGGUAUAUGAAUUUGGUAAGACGUAAUGAUAUAUAUAUGUGUGUCUUUGAUAAGUUAUUUGAUAAUUCGGUAUGUAAAGGACUAAUGGUUUUAAUGCUUGAAUUACAAAAUGUGUUAUAUGUCUACAUAGUGGUAUGAUCGAUUAUGGUAAUUGACUUAUUAUUGUAAGUAUGAAAUAUUUGCAUUGGGUGUGUAUAUGAAAUUUUGAUAUGAGUUAUACUGUAUGAAAUUGGCAUAUUUUGAAUGGCUAAAGUACUUGGAAAAUGGCUAAUGUUAGUCAAGUGAAUAAAGUAUGUAUUGGUUUUAUAUGUAUUUUAGGCUUAAUAAUUAGCAUGCGAAUUGAGUGUAAAUUGUAUGGUUAGUUUGCUAGCCAAAUAGAAGAUAAGAUGAAUGGAAAAGCAUACACAUGUUUUGUACUUAAAUGGGAAGUUAGGCAUGUAUGACUUAUUAGUUGAGUUUAAAAAAAAAAAAGUGGUGCAUAGUUGAUAAGGUUAAAUGCAUUAGUGGCUAAGAUGUUUAUAUGCUAAACUUGACUAUUUGGUGAAAUUGAUUAUGUUAUAUUUUCUAAUGGACAAUAAGCCGAGCGAUAUGGAUUGUUUGGUUUUAUGCACAUGAAUAGAAGUAUGAAUUGAUAUAUUUGAUAUUCAGCUUAAGAAGUAAAAUAUGCUUGGAUGUCUUAAUGUAUGUGCAUGGAAUUUAUAAUGUGAUGAGUCAUCUUAUAAUUUGAUUUUGAAUGAUAUAAGUAAGAGGUAUAUAUGUUUCGAAUGAUGGGAUUUUAAAGCAUGUGUAAUAUGACUAUUUUGAGCCGUGUUUUAUAUGGUAAUGCCUUGUAACCUUAUUCCGGCGACGGAUAUAGGUUAUGGGUGUUACAGUAUCGGAUUAGUAGAUUCUCGUAAACGAACAAGUGUCGAGGUAAGUUCGUGUAACUAAAUUGUGUACAUUUAUAUGUUUGAAUUAAAUGGUAUAUAUGUGAAUUGUAUAAUUUCCAUGUAUAUAAAAUUGAUUAAAUACCCGAAAAUGCCUGAUAAAUGUUAAGUUCCGUUUGAACAAAUGAAAAUCGACAAAUACAAGUUUCAUGUAUUGGUUGUAGUCCUGCAUAUGUUGCGGACACAACACAGCUCGAAAGAGCGUCCAUUUAUUAGCCCUCUCGAGCUUCCUGUUAUAUGGUUCUUGCGAGUUUUUCGUUAAUAGCUCUUCGGAGCAUCCCGAUUGGUUGUGAUCCUAUAUGUGUUGUGGACACACCACAACUCUUAUGAGCUUCCUGAUUAUGGCUCUUUGUGAGCUUCCCGUUAAUUGGCUCUUUGUGAGCUUCCCAAUAAGGCUCACUUGGACUUCUCGAUAUUAAGCUAUCCGGUGCUUCCUGUUAAUGGCUCUUCGGAGCUACUCGAUAUUGGAUCGCAUGAGCUUCCUGAAUAUGGCUCUUAUAAGCUUCCCUUUACAUGGCUCACAUGAGCUUCCCGUUAUAUGGCUCGAGAGAGUGUUUCCUGUUUAAGUGUUCUUAUAAACACUCUUGAAUAUGAAUUGACGAAUUACAGAUUCGUACACUUCAUGUGUACUACCCGAUGUCUAUCGAUAUUUCAUAAGGUUCAAUGAGCAAAGUCCUGAUAUAAGUUAAGAUAAGGUCUGAAUGAAUUAAUAAUUGUAUCUACCUGAAAAUACAUGGAAAUGUUUAUACUAUGAGUUCAUCUCUGUUACUUACUUGAAAUGCAUUUGAAAUAUAUGACUAACUUGUUUGAGGAUGUAUAUGUGUUAGGUUAUUGAUUAAUUUGAUUUGGAUGUACUUUGUAUGCUUAUUUUAAAUGAAUAUGAAUGGUAAGUCAUUUUAUCGUUAUACGAACUUACUAAGCAUUAAAUGCUUACUUUGUUUUAUUUUCUCUAUUUUAUAGUACUCGGAAGCUCGUAAAGGUUGGAGCGGGUCGGAGCAAGAUCACACUAUCCUUCAGCUCUUUUUGGUAUAAAUAGUAAACUUUAAUUAGGAUAUAAUGACAUGUAUAGGUUAAAUUGGUUAAUUGUUGGCGUACACAUGUUUUGGUUGUAAAUAGCCAUUGGAAUGGCUUGUAAUGGUCAUGUUUUGAUAUAUAUACAUAUGGUAUUAUCAUGUUUGAAUUAUGAAUAUGAUUAUGUAUAUAUGCAUUUGGUAUCUAGGUAAGUAUAAGUUUUAGAAUAACACAAUAAUAAAUUGUCUAUUGGGAAGCCUAAGGGUACAUUAGUUGUAUGUGUAAAAUGUCAAGAUUAAGACUUGGUUUUGGCUUAGUUUGAAUGUCUUGAAUUGGUUGGUGAAUGUGUUAAAAUGUUGAUGCAGGUGGAAGACAAGUUUGGGUGAGAAAUAAUGCUUGGAAAUGGCCUUACUUUGUCCACAUGGGCAGAGACACGGGUGUGUGUCUCAGCCCUGUGUGACACACGGCCUAGUACAUGGGCAUGUGUUUCGGUCGUGUGUCACUUGCAUCUUAAAAUUUUAAAACAGAAUGCUUAGGUAUUUUCACACGGGCAGAGACACGGGUGUGUGUCUCAGCCGUGUGAACUCUGCACCUUAAUUAUGCAAGUCAGUAGGCUCACACAGCCUAGCAUACGGGCGUGUGGCUAGGCCGUGUGACUAAGUCAGUAUGCAACCUAAUUUGGACACAGGCUGGAACACGGUCGUGUGCCUCACAUUGAAUGCCCACACGGCCUGAGACACGGGUGUGUCACUUGGCCAUGUGAUCCACAUGGCCUGGCCACACGAGCGUGUGUCUAUUGCACAUAAGGAAAAUUUUGAAAUUUCGCGAAAAAUUUCCUGAUUUCUCGGUUUAGUCCCGACUUGUUUCUAAUGCAUAAUUUGGGUCUCGAGGGUCCAUUUGAGGGACAAUAUGAUUGAUUAUGUAUGAUUUCAGAUAUGAAUGAUAAAUGUUAUGAAUUAACUAUAUUUGUUCUGUAAAUUUUGGUAAUGCUCUGUAACCCUGAUCCGUCGAUGGAUACGGGUUAGGGUGUUAUAUUUCCUUCUUUAAUUUUCCUUCUUUUAAUUCCUUAUUUUUAAAAUUUUCAAAUAUGAUUUUGUGGUUUUUUAAAUUAUAUUUAUUUCUAGGAAUAAUUAAAUAAAUUGCAAUUGACAUAAAAAUGCAAAUCAUUUUUAACAAAAGUUGUAAUAUGAAAAUUAUAAAGAAAAUUAAUAAUGCUAAAAUUUUGAGGUCAUGAGAGCUUUUGAUUUAGCUAACUCAUGUAUCAAUUUGUAAAACUGUUAAAGUUUUUGAAAGUUUUCAUUGUUGAUUUCUUGAAGAAAUUGGUAUGAAAUUGAUAGAUUUUAAGCUUAAAUUAUGAAAAGGACUAGAUUGUAAUGUUUAAUUAUUAGUUUUGUACAUGUGGACUAAAGUGAAUAAAAUAUAUUUUUUUUGUAAAAUUUUAGUAUAAAUAGAUAGUAGAGGGUCUCUAAUGAAUAUAAUUGAAGUUAGUUUUCAAACCGAGGCUCAAAAUGGAAAGAUAUGGUUAUUUCAAAUUUAAGGACUAAAUUGAAUAAUAUGUAAAAUUUUAGGGGUAUCAAAAAAUGAGAUUAUUUAGGUUCAUUCAUGUCAUGGCAUAAUGUAUGAAUGUUGGGUAUUGAUGAAUUGAAUGGAAUAAUUGUAUAAAUCAAGAAUUGGAUCAAAUUGGAAGUAAUUGAGGAAAAACCAAAAUUGUUGAUUAGUCCCUAAAAGUUUAACUUGUUUGGUAUUUUGAUUAGGUAAGUUCAUAUGGUAUUUAUAACUUAGAUUGUAUGUAUUUGAAUUAUAUAUAUGUUUGGUUGUAAAUUAAAGUGGUUGUGAAUUGAUAUAAAAGGUAAAAAUUGGACUAAAUAAAAAAGUGAUGAUUAUAUGUGUAAUAGAUGCCUGUGUGAACUUACUAAAUGUUAGGAUACGAUUGGCAUGUCAAUAGGGUCUUCUGCGCGCUUGUACCAGAUUGAUUACAAAUGUUGCCAAGGUCCAACAUUUAUUACAGAUUCUCAAUUAUAUGUGACAUAGGUCUAGCUCGGACGAGUAACUUGAUGUCGUUUUAAAGAUUUAGCCCGGACGGGUAACCUAACAUAUAUAUAUUUAGCUCGGAUAAGAAAAUGGUGUGGUGUAGAUACUUGUGUAUCCGAGCCCGUUUACUAGGGUCCAUUGAGUGAAACAGUUUAUAUGAAACGAGAAAUUGAAAUGGAAUGAUAUGAACUUGACUAUCAAAUGGUGAGUUGUUGAAUGAAUAAUGCAAGAGAUAUUGAUUUGAGUAAGGCCAUUAAUAUGUAUAUGAAUGUAAUAUCCUUUGAAUGAGUAUGAAAUUUAAAUUGUUACCUAUUGUGUCAUGAUUUGGCAUAUUGAACACUUGUGGUAUUAUAUGUAGUUUGAUUUUAAGCUAAUGCUCACCUUGUUGAUGUUUUGAUUUGUCAUGUCUAGUCAAACUAUGCCAAAGUGUGGUAGCUUAUUGUAUUUAAUUGAAAGAUAAUGUAAGUUUUAUUUAAUUCCUAUGAACUUACUAAGCAUUUCACAUGCUUACCUAAUUUGUUCUCUUUUCCUUGUAGAUCAUCACCUUGUGGAACACGUCAAGCCGAAUCGUCCCGAAGCUUACACUAUCCCCAAUUCGGUAGCUAUUUGGUCAUUUUGAGUCUAGG
rnacentral:lncRNA from 1 species